rnacentral:lncRNA from 1 species
CAGAAUCAAGUGAAGCCCAGCAACAAUACAAAGCCUGCUACUGCACUGAGACAAGAAGACAAAAGAGCAUUAGACUUGCUCAUGCAAAAGAGCUGUUCUCAGUGUACGAGAAAGGAGAGUAUCCAGCUAGCUAACCGUUACGCUAUCUUAUCUACAGCAGGCUAAUGAAGCCACAGCUGGCGUCAGUCUAGAUCCUUCUUGUAGAGUGUAUAAAUAUCAAGUCUUGUAAUGA